ACUAGGCCUGCCUACUCCCCACGCACGCACGCACCCACCAUCACCCCCCGGCCUCUCUUCCACCACACGCCACCCCUUUCUCCCCGCGCCCCGUCCACAGCCCGUGGCCACCACCUCCUACCACGCCGCCGGGCUGGCCACCUCCCACCACGCCACCGGACCAGCCACCUCCCACCGCGCGGCCGGCCACCCCCACCACGCAGCCGGCCACCACCUCCCACCGCGCCGUCGGGCCACCACCUCCAAUCGCCGGCCACCGCCACCCCUGCCCACCGCAACCACCUCCCGGCGGCGGAUCCUGGCUGGCAACCGCCCCAGCGCGCCUCCCCGUGGUGGAUCUGGGCCCUGCGCCUCCAUCGCCCACCGCAUCCGGCCACCACCAGCCCCCAAGGCAGCUUCAACCACCCGAUACGGCCCCUAGUGCGUCUUCAACCGCCGGAUCCGGCCUCCACCAGCCCCCGGCGUGGCUUUCAACAACUGAUCCGGCUGUUGACUCCCCGUGACCUCGUCUCCCUCGUCGCGCCCCUACCUUCGCCUCCCUCCUCCGACCCCAGGCCGGAUCUGCCGCCAAUCCGCGUUUCCCGUCGACCAUUUCCUUUCCCACCGCCACCUCGACCUUUCCCUGGACGGGUCGUUGCAGGCACUGCCUACGGCCCGACAUCGCGCGCAUCCAGGGAUGGGGUCAAUUGCAGCUCGGCUGGCCCUCCAUUGCAGUUCGGCUGGGUGCCCAGUGAUGAUUUUUUGUGUCUAUCGGCAUCAAACGAUGCCCCGAGCUGGAGUUGAAGGUCAACGGCGGCAACGACGCACCGUGCAAUUCAGAAAAUCUUGCAUGCAUCUAUGGAGUUCAAACAACGCACAAGCGUGCGAGUGUGGUUCCAAAGGAACAGUCCACAUCACCGACGGCAGCACCACCAUGAUGUCAUGCGAUUCGGUAGGUUGUGCCCUGCAGUUCGGCAAUCGUGUCCUGGGUUCACACGUGCGUCGGUGCUGCUCGGAGAUGCACGCCAUGCGGAUCGGUGUUUCGAGCGCGCGAGCGGGUCUGACACAACUUGCCGACGACGACCAUGCAGGCUUCUCAGGUCAUGGUCCAAUGCGAUGUUUUGCCUUUCGCCGGUACUCACUUCAGUGUUUGAGAAGAAAAAAAUCGGUUGGCAUUUAGCCUGUGCGUUUCUUUUGUGGUUCAUGGCCUCCGCACGUUGUACUCAUGCAUGUAGUUGUUCAACCUGCGUGGGAGUGUGGUCGAUGACUGUUCCAUGUGAUAUGUAUCUAAUUUGUGUUCCUCAUGUUCUUGUAAGGUUCACCUCUAGAUGGCGUGCGGUCCAGGUCGCCGCUCGAUGCAGUCCACCAGCGACGAGAGGCCAACAAGGGUUGUGAAGCAGUUCUUUAGGCGCGCGCGUGCAGCCCAGAAAAUCCAGGGGUCCUGAUUGCUUUCAGUUCACUCAGUAAAAAAGAAAAAGUGGCACCUGCAGCUCACUUUUAUCAAUUUUUGGUUUGUUGUAAGCGGCCCCGAUUCGUUCCAUGUGUCUUCUUUGCAGAUCACUGUUUUGCUUUUUUUGCAGGCGACCCCGAUUCAUUCGAUGCCAGCUGCCUGGUCGGAGCUCCUCCACCGUUCACCUCCUCCUCUGCAUCCCCUGCAGUUCACUCCAGUGGUUAACGAUGAUGCAUUGGCAGGGGGCAGAUGCAGUGCGGCAGGGCAGUGCAUGUAGUGCGGUAGCGCCGCACAUGCAGUGCGGUGCUCACGGCCGUGCGUGGCCGCUACGGUUGGCCGCGCGAGCCACUCCCUGGGACUUGAUUGCUUUCUUUCUUUUUUGGUUGAAGGGAAGUUCCACAAAAUUUAGUUUGCAGCAGCAUGGUUCGGCACAGAGUGCAAUUCGGUGGCGCGGGCGGCGUUUUUGUCUUCUAUUUGUAUAGAAAAAAGUUUCAUCUCUCUCGUCAGGCACAAGUAGCAUAUUUUAUUUCGAAUAUGCAGUUCAGGAAAAUGGUCUCUCCUGGUCUCUACCGACCUCCCAGGUUGCCAUUGGCCAUUUUGGCGACUUUGUAGGUGUAGUAUGCCCCUGAGGUGUGAUGUAGUGCAGCACGGCUAGUCCUCAAUUGCUGUUCGGCUGGUGACAGUGUUGAUUUUGUGUGUAUGUUGUGUGUGUGUCUGUAAAAAUAAACAAAAUAUAUAUAUGUUUUGAAGCUCA